rnacentral:sRNA from 1 species
CUAUUUAUGCAACAAAUUGAAAGAGAAAACUUCGAUACACUGUUCAAAUGUUCACAGUUGUCCUGAAGCGCUUCAUUAUUCUUUUGUACAUAAGUAAAACAGCGUAAUGUGCGCUACUAAUUUAUUUUUCAGGAGACAUCACAUGUCUAAAGCAACUGGUAUCGUUAAGUGGUUCAACGAUGAGAAAGGUUUCGGUUUUAUCACUCAAGACAAUGGCGGCGCUGACGUAUUCGUUCACUUCCGUGCUAUCACAGGUGAAGGCUUCAAAUCUCUAGCUGAAGGUCAAAAAGUUUCUUUUGACGUUGAGCAAGGCCAAAAAGGUCCUCAAGCGGCUAACGUUGAGCUUGC